rnacentral:lncRNA from 1 species
CCCCCCAGGGCACAUCCGAGUUGGUUGAACAAUCACUUCACUGGGACGCUGGAAGCAAGGGUGGAGAGUUCGAUUCCUGGAGUUAACACUGGGAGCCAUAUGGAGAGAAAGCCAUUGGUGUGAACAAACGCCCAGUGAGGAGAGCUCUCUUUGCGGAAGGAGUCCAAAUGAGUUGUGGGAACCUGGGAGCCAACAAGGGCACAUCCUGCGAUUUACCUCCCUGAGCAGCUGAGGGGCCGGAGGUUCAGGGACAAGG